CAGGACAGCCCUGCUCCAGGAUAGCCCUGCUCCAGGAAAGUUUUGCUCCAGUCUACCUGAGCCAGCACAGGAUUCUCUCACCUGCUGGGUGCAGGUCUGGCCUGACUCUUUGGAUCCAUCAGGAAGAGAAGCCAAAAGCCCCACAAUCAAAAUUCAGCUUUUAUGGAGCAAGGAGAUUAUCCCCGAGAGAAAAACCCCUGCUGGUGCUACAGGUGCAAACGCCAUCUCCAAAUGAUGAACCACGGAGAGGAGAGCGAGCACAGGGAACUGCUGAGCUUUGACAGCAGAUGUGACCCCUGAGCCCACAACAAUGAGCUGCCAGCCUGUCCUCUGUCGCUGGGGUGUGACUGGGACCGUUCAGCAGCCCCGGGGUUCCCAGGGACCCAUCCCACCCCUGUGAGGGAGGAGAAGCACUGGGGCUCCUGUGCAAAUCCACAUUUCACGGCAGAGCCCUGGAACCAGGAGCCUUCAGCACUCACAUCAAUCAUCAGUGGUUAUGAGCUGGCUGGAUCGCUUUCAAUAUAUGGAUGUACGAAUUUACUGAUUUUGGAAGGGAUGCCGAACUGCCCUGCUCACUGCGAGGGGCUGGCCCUCCCUCCGAUGCUUUCCAUGCGCUGGGCAGGUGAGGAGACUUUCCCUGAGUUACAGAAGGAAAAGGCUCCCCUCUCGUGGCUGCGAGGGAAAACGGCACUUUCUGCACAAAACUGCCUUCUGCACUUCCCGGGCUGCGGGGAAACACAAAUCUAUCCAGAACACCUGAAAAUGGGAUGGGAAUGGAACGGACUCAGAGCCAGAGCAGGAGCAGAGGAGCUCCCAGCCCUGGUAUAAUGGAGAGUUCAUCCAUCUGUGAGGUAAGAGAAGAGCAAAAGAACAACUACAGAGACUUUUCAGAAGUUGCUGCUCCAUUGUGUCUGAAAUCACUUGCCAGUAACAGCUGAGAAUUCUUUGUUAGGAGAAAUAAAUCUGGUCCCACUGAUCCUGUAGUGAUCUCAGGUACUACAGAACCAGCUGGAUUUGGGGAUUCAAGCAGAUGCAAAAAGCCGAGGUUGGCC